rnacentral:rRNA from 1 species
AGUGAACGCUGGCGGUAGGCCUAACACAUGCAAGUCGAACGGCAGCACAGUAAGAGCUUGCUCUUACGGGUGGCGAGUGGCGGACGGGUGAGGAAUACAUCGGAAUCUACUUUUUCGUGGGGGAUAACGUAGGGAAACUUACGCUAAUACCGCAUACGACCUACGGGUGAAAGCAGGGGAUCUUCGGACCUUGCGCGAUUGAAUGAGCUGAUGUCGGAUUAGCUAGUUGGCGGGGUAAAGGCCCACCAAGGCGACGAUCCGUAGCUGGUCUGAGAGGAUGAUCAGCCACACUGGAACUGAGACACGGUCCAGACUCCUACGGGAGGCAGCAGUGGGGAAUAUUGGACAAUGGGCGCAAGCCUGAUCCAGCCAUACCGCGUGGGUGAAGAAGGCCUUCGGGUUGUAAAGCCCUUUUGUUGGGAAAGAAAAGCAGCAGGUUAAUACCCCGCUGUUCUGACGGUACCCAAGGAAUAAGCACCGGCUAACUUCGUG